GUGGUGAUUCAGAGGUAGAAUUCUCACCUUCUAUGUGGGAGACCUGGGUUCCAUUCCCAGCCAACACA
rnacentral:tRNA from 1 species